rnacentral:rRNA from 1 species
CGCGUAGGUGGUUUGUUAAGUCAGAUGUGAAAGUCCACGGCUCAACUGUGGAAGUGCAUUUGAAACUGACAGACUUGAGUACUGGAGGGGUAGUGGAAUUCCCGGUGUAGAGGUGAAAUUCGUAGAUAUCGGGAGGAAUACCGGUGGCGAAGGCGACUACCUGGCCAGAUACUGACACUGAGGUGCGAAAGCGUGGGGAGCAAACA